GUCUAUGGCCAUGCCACCCUGAACAAGCCCAAUCCCGUCUGACCUUGAAAGCUAAGCAAGGUCAGGCCUGUUUAGUACUUGGAUGGGAGACCACCUAGGAAGACCAGGUGCUGUAGGCG
rfam:Pteropus alecto contig38573, whole genome shotgun sequence.